rnacentral:lncRNA from 1 species
CCCAAAUGCUUGGAGGGAAGCAAGCAUGGACCACACUUUUACUCCAUUAUCCUUCCUUUUCCCACCGAUUUUAUUGUAAGCAGAGUCCCUUUUUUCACAAAACAAAAGCCCCAAAUGCGAAAUCGUCUACUAACUAUUCACUCUCUGACGAUGUUAAAUCUCGUCGACGACGAUUAAUCCCUGUGGAAGACGUGUGCACAAGUAAAAUCAAUUUAUGUUGUGGGUGCACGAUUAGCAUUUUGGUUUCACUCUUCUUCUUUCUCAGUUUUCUUCAAUAAGCGACGAACCAACUGAUUUUCUUCUUAUAGUUUAGGUGAAUCAUGAUGUUAGGUAGCCUUCAUUAUUAUAGUUUGCGUAGAUCUUGAAAAUUUUAGGUGUGUGAAAUUUUAGUUGUAAUAUUUUAAAGAGAGGGAAUGGCAACUACUUCCUGAUUUUUGGGCAGGGGAUCCUACUUUUAUGUAGAACUAAUUAAAUUAUAUGAACACUGAAGUCGUGUAUUUUCAAGUGUAUUACAUGUGCAUAAAAACCGAACCAUCUCUGUCUCUUAUCAAAGAAAAGAAUAACAGAGGAAAUGGUGUUGCCUCUUAAUUUUUAUUCUUACUAUACUUAUGAUAAAAUGGUUUGGCCUCUUAAUUUCUACUAUUAGUGUAGUAAUUGUGUUGUUGAGGAAAAUCAGCUUCUCUAUUUGACAGAUGCCUUGGCUUGGUUAUUUAAAAUUUCAUUAAAAUUGAUUUUAUUGUUAUUUAACAAUUUGAUUUUAUUAUCCAAACUUAAUCGACGAGGUUGGCAAAGGUGUGUAAAAAAGGUACAAGUGCUGCUGUUUUUUCAAUCCAAAUCUUCAUAUUUCCUUUCUCAAUCUUGUUUCCUUGUGAAGAUGUUGGUAGAUUUUUACUUGUGUUUUUCAACCUUUUUAAAAUGGGGCAUGUUCAUGAGAAAAUGAAUCUGAAAAGUGUAAGUAUUAUGCCCUAGGUCCAAUCAACUUUAGACAUAAAUACUUUUGAUAUAUAAUUAAUGCAAUUUAAUGGAAGAUUUAUUAUUUAAUUAAUAGAUAAUUAAAUAAAUAAUAGGGUAUGUAGAUUCAAAUCUUCGUAAUUUGUUAAUCACAAUGAGUUGUGAUUGUGAGAUACAAAUUACAUCUGAUUGAAUCUUAAAUCGUCCGUGGUCGUAAGUAAUAAUGAGAUACGGAUAUCGUUAUUACGGAUAGACCAUCACGUGUGACAUUUCUUACUUAUGAAGUAAGUAGCUGAUCUCACAAACUAAAGUGUGGUGACAUUUAAAUGAACACGUAGAUGUUUUGUUAUAGAACAAAACAUUGGAGAUCCGUCGAGAGAUUCCACAUGGAUAACUAUUUGAGUGUCAGUGGUUAAUCUCUAACGUUCGAUAGUGGGAUUGGUCAUUUUGACUUGAGGUUAUCAUAGUACUUUAUAUGAGGACGGUCAUGCUUUAACGGCGUUGGAUGUUACUCUGCCAAGGGCUACUAAUACAGCAUCGUUCGGGUAUGUUAAUAAUCUUAUGAAGGUUGUGAAUGACCAAUAGAGGAUUCAUCACUCUUAGAUAGUAAGAGAUUAUGAUCUGCGUUUCAUUCAAUUAAGUCGAUAAAGAAAUCCUUGGCUAAGGUGUACUCAUAAAUCGAAAAGAAGUUUUCGACUUAUAUUGACUUAAUAGUGGAGUGAAAGAUAUGAUUGAUAAUCGAGAUUGACACACUUCCAUAUCUCGUAAUUGAUCGGAUCAUAUUGACGAAGGGAUUAUAAUUUUACGGUAAACGAACGAUUUGGUUUUGUCAUACCACAUGACAUUUUCCGUCACAUAUAUUGUCCUGACACAUUGUUAGAUGUCAAUCUGGGAUGGCAAGUGUGAAUUGAUUAUAAAUUAAAAGGGUUUUUUAAUUUAUCAAUUUUGAUUAUAUUAAAAUAAAUUUCACGUCGUUAGACAUCGUGAUCGGGAACCUGAUGGGUCGUAUACAAAAGAGAAUUGGAAGAUUACAAUUUGUCAAUUAAUUAAUUUAACAAUCGUUGGAUAAAUUAAUUAAUUGGUUUGGUUAUUUAUAGGCCCAAAUUAAUUAAUUGGAUUAAUUAAUUCACGGACCGAAUUUAAUUAUAUGUAUUAAUUAAAUAUUGGAUCGGACUAGGCCAGUCCCGUUUGGGUUUAUAUAAAUACAUGACUAGGGUUUUCAAUCCAUAGAUUUUUCUCAUAAUUAUUCUUGCUAGCACAAGAGGAGAAAACCUUGGUAGUUGAAAUCUUGUUUUCUGUGUAGAUCAUCGUUGGAGGUUGGACAAUUGGACAGCUGUUGAUGAUGAAUCAAGAUUGCUGGAACGAAAAGAAUAGCAAAGAAGUUUGCAGAUCUGUAAAAGAUACAAUCUUAUUACAAUUUCUAUCUAAACACAAAGACAAUUCUUGGUGGAAAUCGAAAUCUGUUUUAAUUUUCCGCUAUAUAUGUUAAGUAGAUUUCCAACAGUGAUAUCAGAGCCUAUUUUGUAUUUGUUAGAGAUUGUUUUAAAUUUUUGGGAACAAUCAAAAGUUAAUUUUGUUCUUUUCUUAUUUCUACCAAUUAAGAUGUUAUUUGAUUUUCAUUCUUUUGAAAUCUGAUUUAAAAAGAAUAAAUUUUGGAUCGAGAAAAAAAAGGAAAGGAAAUCUGCCGGUGGCACUGCAACAGCGGGAGCGCCGCUACUGCUGAUUUUGCAGCAGCAGCAGUUGCUGCUCGCUGCAAGCAGCUUCCUGCCGCCGCUGACGCCGCCCCUUAUUAAUAAAUGAUCGGCGCCGCAGGGAAGGGUAUUCUUCUAGGGUUGUCAAGGUCGGGGUGGAAGAGGUUGGGACGGGGGCUCAGGUUGUAAAUUCAAAGAUGUUGAGCCGCUGUGUGCAAUUUCAAUUCAGGGUCAAUUGUAAUUAUUUUAAUGAAGGGCCUGCCUGUAAUUUUCGAAAUUGGAGGGUCCUGAUUAUAAAUUUAAAUUUGGGUCAAGAUGCAAUUUUCAAAAGAGUUUUGAAUUUGAAUCUUAAAAUGGUUUUAAAUUUGAUUUUCAAAUGGGUUUAACCUAAAAUUUCAAUUUUGACCCAAAAUAAAAUUUUAUUUAAAACCGACGACGUUUUAUAUUUUCGUUAAAAUAUGAUUUUAACUUAAAUAUUAAAUUUGACCCCAAAUAGAAUUUUAUUUUAUUUAGGAGUGUUAUCCUAUAUUAAAAUAUUAAUUCUAUUAAAAUUGGAGUUUGACUCUAAUUUAACACUUAAUUAAAAUUUGAUUUUAAUUAAUUAUUCACCCCGAAUGUAUUCUAGAAAUUAGAAUUUGAUUCUAAUUUGACAUUUAAUUAAAAUUUGAUUUUAAUUAAAUUGUCUUACCCUAAAAUUUUCUUUGGAAUUAGAGUUGGACUCUAAUUUAAUAUUUAAUUAAAUUUUUAUUCUAAUUAAAUAAUUUACUCUAGCAUUUCUUGAAUUUACAAUUGGAUUCUUAUUUGAAAUUUAAUUAAAAUUUGAUUUUAAUUAAAUUGUCUCGCACUAAAUUUCUUCUUGGAAAUGGAGUUGGACUUUAAUUUGAUAUUUAAUUGAAAUAUGAUUUUGAUUAAAUAAAAUUCUCCCUUAAAUAUUGAAAUUAGAGUUAGACUCUAUUUUAUUAUUUAAUUAAAAUUUGAUUUUCAUUAAAUUCAACCGCCUUAAAUUUUGAAAUUGGAGUUUGACUCUAAUUUGAUAUGUAAUUAAAAUUUGAUUUUAAUUAAAUUAUCCUCCCCUAUCAUUGUUGAACUAGAGUUGGACUCUAAUUUGAUAUUUAAUUAAAAUUUGAUUUUAAUUAAAUAUGCCCGCUAAUUAAAUUAAUUAAUUAAUACGAUUAAUUAAUUAUUUAAUUGUUCCGAUCCAUUUGUCUAAAAGAGUUUAGACGACUUAAUUGCUAGAAACUUGAAACUAGUUUGCAUAUAAUAGUAGAUAUUAUUUAGGUAUACAUUUAUGUGAUAAAUGUAUUAUUUAGUGGACAAUUAUGGACUCGAUCAUAUGAAUGUGUUGUAUGGUUAAAUUUUUAUUCUUGUCAUUUUAUGGGCCUGCGAUCUCUUAAUUAUUUUGGGCCAGCGAGCCCGUUAUUUUUGUUAUUAUUUUGGGUUUGCGAGCUCUUAAUCAUUUUGGACCUGGGAACCCGUUAUUGUUACUAUUAUUACUAUGGGCAUGCGAGUCCAAUUUCAUUUAGACCUGCAUGCCAGCUUGUAUAGGAUACAGGUUGUAGCUGAACUAAUUGAAGAAAAAAGAAGAGGAGGAGACCAUGGAGAUGGUGUAUUGAUACUGUUCAAUGCUCUACCCCCUAAGAAUUGACCAACUAGUCUUCCUUAUAACUCGGGCUGACUAAAUAGUAAAAGUCCAUAAUCAUUCACACUAUUAUAUUAUGUUAUAUAUAUAUUUAUUUACAUGGUAGAUGUAUAAUAAAAUAUAUAUUAUUGUUACGAUGAGACCUUUGAAUGCAAAAUCCCUCCACAAAAUAUUAAGUCACAUUUAUAAUUGUCUUCCAUAAUUAUAGUGAAAAAUUAGAGUCUCAAAUCGUCUCAACUUGUUGAGUACACUCAAGGCUUGUUUAUUAGGGAUAUGUUUGACACUAUAAAAUAUUAGAAAUUUCUGAAUGAUGGGUUUGACUUAACUAAAAAUUUAUCUUUUGUUGAGUACACUCAAAGAAAUAAAUUUUAGAGGCUGUUAAGCUAACACAUAAGAUGUGUGAAGACAAAGAGUUGUCAGCUUAAUAAUCUGGGAGUUGUAUGGAGAUAUAAUUGAUAAUAAUAUCUAUCCAAAUGUUAUAUUAAGGCUUGUUGAGUACACUCAAGGUCUUAGUAUAACAGAUGAGAUCCCAACUCACUGGGAGUCGAGUAUGGACUCCAUAAAUUUAUGUGAGAGGGUCAUAAAUUUGUAUUAAACAAGUGGGAGAAUAAUUAAUUUAAUAAAAGUCCAUAUUAAAUUAAUUGAUGCAUUUUAUAAAUUAUUCUUUUUCUUUUCGUCAUUUAUAUUUAUUGAAUCGUGAGUAACCAUGUGUAUUUGAGAGGCAUAUUGGAUGCCAACAACCAAAUUAAAUCUCUGUCAUAGAGUUAUUCAUACUAAUUAUGAAUUAUGAUAUAAAUAAGCUCGAAUGCAUACUCAUUAAGUUGCUUAACAUGCUUAAGACAGUUAUGCCCAAUAACAAAGUUAGAAGUGGGCAAGCCAUUGAUUCCUCUAAGGGUAUUAAGAGGAAGUCUAAAGGGGCUUUGUGAAAGCAUCCAAUAUGGUUAAGACAGUCUAAGUGAAAGGACAACAGCAAAUUUAAUGACCCUUGUCUUCAUUAUAGAAUGAAAGGUCAUUGGAAAAAAUUAUUGUAAGGCUUAUAUCUAUUUCAUUAACUUCUCUCAGGUAUUAGAUACUAGAUGUGGAUCUCAUAUUUAUACAAAUAUGGAAAAACUAAAUGGAGGUAGAUCACUGCAAGAGGGAGACGUUAACCUACACGUUGAAGAUAAGCAAAGGUUGCUACAUUGCCUGUAGGAGCAUACUUCUUGCCGUUGCCUUUUGAUUUAGUAAUAGAAUUAGAGAAAUAUUUCUUUGUACCCACCAUAGCUGGAACAUUAAAAUGAAUUUCAUGUUCAGACAUGAACCAUUUUAAUGUUAAGGACAAUUGUUGUUCCUGCAUAUCUUGAUUAAAAUCUUAAUAGUUAUGGUAAGUUACAAAAUAACAUUUAUAUUCUAAAUACUAAGGAUUCUAUAAUGACAGACUUUGUCAUAUAGAUGAAAUGCAAUUUCAAAGUUACAUAAAAAUAUAUACUCGAGAUUAAUUGAUUUUGACAAGUACAAAUUAUGUAUGUCUGGAACAAUGACCUAAUCUUCUUUUACUUGAACAGAAGAAAGGUCAGCAUAAUUACUGGUCUAAUGCAUAGUGAUGCAUAUGGACUCAUGUCAAUUGAUGUCAGGAAAUGUUUCUCUUAUUUUAUCAAUGAUCAUGUAUACUUGAUGAAACUCAAACAUGAAACUCUAGAAAAGUUCAAGGGAUUCAAACUAAAAGUAGAGAAACAAAUAGGUAAAGAUAUCCUCACAUUAAGAUUCGAUCAAGUGAGAGUAUCUUAAAGAUAAAAUCUAGAUUAUCUAUAGAUUAUCUAAGAGAGAAUGAGAUUCUCUUGCAGUGGACUCCUCCAUAUACACUGCAGCAUAGUGGUAUAUCUGAAAGCAGAAAAGUUAACUAUUAGAUAUAGUGCGAUUAAUAACAAGCCAUGUAAAUCUCCUAAAAUUGUUUUGGGGUCAUGCAUUGAUUGCAGUGUGUAACACAUUAAAUCAUGUCACAUCUAAAUUGGUUAACAGAACUCCAUACGAUUUAUGGAAAGGCAAUAGUCUCAAUUUAUCUCAUAUGAAAAUUUGGGGCCAUGGCGCUUAUUUGAAGCGCAUUGAAUCGGAUAAGUUUGAGAUUAAAUCCAAUAAAUACAUAUUUGUGGUAUAUUCAAAGCAGAUAUUUGAAUAUAAAUUCAAUUAUUGUGAAGAAAGUCUUCACCUCACGACAUAUCGUCUUCCUAGAGAAAAUGUUUACUCUAGGGAAGGACAGUGAGAGCAAAAUAGAAUAUGAAAGAGUUCAAGAGUCCACAAAUAUAGUUAGCCAAGUAGAUGAAUUCGAGUUUGAUCUCAUAUCUGAUAUAUUCUUGAUCAGGAAGUAAAGACUCCUGAGGACAUGUCAGUUCUCUGUAAAUCUAGUAGGAUUAUUUGACCUUCGAGAAGGUGCGAAUCCACAAUUACUAAUCAGGUAUUACUGAUCUAGGAUAAUGAACCUACUAGUUAUACCAACAUAAAGUCAAGGGUUGACUUAAAAGAGACAGUAAGAGGUCAAGAAACUCGAGAUGAACUCGAUGUAUAUGAACAAGGUUUGGACCUUGGUCAAGCCUCCUGAUGGAAUAAAACCUAUAAAUUUUUGUAAAUAGUAAACAAGGAAAAAGUCGAUAUGGAUGGGAAUAUCCAUAUAUACAAAGCAAGGCUAGAAGCAAAGGUUAAGUAUUGACCUUGGUGAAACAUUUCUCCUGUAGCCUUGCUGAAGUCCAUUUGGGUUUUGAUUGCAACAAUUACAUACCGUGACUAUAGGUUAAGAGAAGUCUCUUGGAGCUGAAAUCUUAGAUUUGAUGAAAAAGUCAAAGUAUUUGAUUUUAUCAAAUUUGAAGACAAAUUAUGUGUUUACAAAAAGAUAGUAUGAGCAUUGUCGUAUUCCUAAUAUUAUAGAAAACUAUAUCCCUAUAUUUCAAUCGUUGAAAUAAUGGUUGUUAAAUGAUUUAUUCAUAAACGAUAUAAGAGAAGCAACUUGAUCUAUAGAGGUAGAUCUAGAAGAUUUCUUAACUCGUCCCAAUUUACAUAGAUGAAAUCUUGAGAAGAUUUCAUAUGGAGAAACUGGUUUACUCUUAAGCGGUAUGUUGGAAAGGUUCCAAACGUGAAGCAAUCGUUGAUUCAAUAGUAGAAACCUAAUACAUGAUUACUUCAGAAGUAGCAAAGAGCUGCAAUCUUGAUCAUGAUGUUCAUAAAUGAAAUUGGAGUAGCUCUUGUUAUUGUUGAUCACAUGCCAUUGUAUUGUGAUAACAAUAGAGCCAUUUCGAAAACAAAGGAGCUAAGGUAUCAUCAAUGAUUCAAACUUGUAUUAAGGCGGUAUAAUCUCAUCAAAGAGAUAAUACACAGAAUUGACAUAAAGAGAAGAACAAAUUCUGAUAUUUAACAAUAUUGUAGAUCCAUUGACAAAGAGUUAUCGUAGCAUAAACAUGAUAGUCAUCUAGAUUUAUGAUAUUGGAUACAUAAGUGAUUGGAUCUAGUGCAAGUGGGAGUUUGUAAGUAUUAUGCCCUAGGUCCAAUCAACUUUGGAUAUAAAUACCUUUGAUAUAUAAUUAAUGCAAUUUAAUAACAUAUCUAUUAUUUAAUUAAUAGACAAUUAAAUAAAUAAUAGAGUUCGUAAAUUCAAAUCUUCGUAAUUUGUUAAUCACAAGGAGUUGUGAUUGUGAUAUACAAAUUAUAUUUUUGAUUGAAUCUUAAAUCGUUCGUGAUCGUAAGUAAUAACGAGAUAUUGAUGUCGGAUAGACAUCACGUGGGGCAUUUCUCACUUAUGAAAUAAGUAGCUGAUCUCACAAGCUAAAGUGUGGUGACACUUAAAUGAACACGUGGAUAUUUUGUUAUAAAACAAAACAUUGGAGACCCGUCGAAAGAUUUCACAUGGAUAACUAUUUGAGUGUUAAUAGUUAAUCUCUAACGUUCGAUAGUGGGAUUGGUCCUUUUGACUUGAGGAUGUCAUAGUAUCUUAUAUGAGGACGGUCAUGCUUUGACAGCGUUGGAUGUUGCUCUGCCUAGGACUGCUAAUACAACAUCGUUCGGGUAUGUCAAUAAUCAUAUGAAGGUUGUGAAUGACCAAUCGAGGAUUCACCACUCGUAGGUAGUAAGAGAUUAUGAUCUGCGUUUCAUUCAAUUAAGUCAAUAACAAAAUACUUGGCCAAGGUGUACUCAUAAGUCAAAAAGGAGUUUUCAACUUAUAUUGACUUAAUAGUGGAGUGAAAGAUAUGAUCGAUAAUCGAGAUUGACACAUUUCAAUAUCUCGUAAUUGAUUGAAUCAUAUUAACGAAGGGAUUAUAGUUUUACGGUAAACGAAUGAUUUUGAUUUUGUCAUACCACAUAUCAUUUUCUGUCACAUAUAUUGCCCUGACACAUUGCUAGAUGUCAAUCUGGGAAGGCGAGUAUGAAUUGAUGAUAAAUUAAAUAGGUGUUUUAAUUUAUUAAUUUUAAUUAGAUCAAAAUAAUAUUUCACGUCGUUAGGCACGUGAUCGGGAACCUAAUGGAUCGCACACAAAAGAGAAUUGGAAUAUUACAAUUUGUCAAUUAAUUAAUUUAACAAUCGUUGGAUAAAUUAAUUAAUUGGUUUGAUUAUUUAUAGGCCCGAAUUAAUUAAUUGGAUUAAUUAAUUCACGGAUCGGAUUUAAUUAAAUGGAUUAAUUAAAUAUUGGAUCGGACCAGGUCAGGCCUGUUUGGGCUUAUAUAAAUACAUGGCUAAGGUUUUCAAUCCAUAGGUUUUUCUUAUAAUUAUUCUUGCUAGCACAAGAGGAGAAAAUCCUGGUAGUUACAAUCUCGUUCUCUUUGUGGAUCACCGUUGGAGGUUGGAUAAUUGGACAGCUGUAGGUAGCGAAUUAAGAUUGCUGGAAUGAAAAGAAUAGCAAAGAAGUUUGCAGAUUUGUAAAAGGUAUAAUCUUAUUACAAUUUCUAUCUAAACACAAAAGCGAUUCUUGGUGGGAAUCGAUAUCUGUUUUAAUUUUUCGCUGUACAUGUUAAGUAGAUUCCCAACAAAAAGAUGAUUGAUUUGUCUUGAGAAAUGAAGUUAGUUAGAUUGUUAACUAUUCAAAACUUUGAGUUGAGUUUUGCUUAUUCUCCUGCUUAUCUUUAUUGCAAAAAGCACAUCAAUGGACUGAAUUUUUCCCCUCACUAGUUUCUUUUAUCUUCAUUUUUUUCACUGUUAUGGUCAGUGUUGUUGUUAUUUAUGGAGAAUAUGUUUUCCCUUUUCAUCUACAAGGAAAUGAAGGAAUGUGGUGGUUCUUGUUUAUCAGCCUUUGCUGUGAAUCUGGAGUUUAGGGAACUUUGCAAGUGAUUUCCAGUGCCCAAUUUAUUGGUCAAAUUUAUGGUUACAUAUUCGGAUUUGUUUAGUUUUGUAACCCCCAAUGACAGUUUUCGUAUGGAUUGGGUAUGUAACAGAAGCAACAUUGUAAUGGGUAGUGGGAUGAUUACCUACAUGGUUUUAACAAUUGUGUGAUCAUUUUUUUUCAACAUAAGGCAACGUUCUAAUGGAUAGUGCGAUGAUUAACUUUAGUGGUUUUACGACUAGUGUUAACUUAUUUCUCUAAAUUAUGUUCGUUUUUUAAUU